rnacentral:rRNA from 1 species
AUAUUGGACAAUGGGCGCAAGCCUGAUCCAGCCAUGCCGCGUGUGUGAAGAAGGCCUUCGGGUUGUAAAGCACUUUCAGUGGUGAGGAAGGCGUUGUAGUUAAUAGCUGCAACGAUUGACGUUAGCCACAGAAGAAGCACCGGCUAACUCCGUGCCAGCAGCCGCGGUAAUACGGAGGGUGCGAGCGUUAAUCGGAAUUACUGGGCGUAAAGCGCACGUAGGCGGCUUGUUAAGCAAGAUGUGAAAGCCCAGGGCUCAACCUUGGAAUUGCAUUUUGAACUGGCAAGCUAGAGUUUUGAAGAGGGUGGUAGAAUUUCCAGUGUAGCGGUGAAAUGCGUAGAUAUUGGAAGGAAUACCAGUGGCGAAGGCGGCCACCUGGUCAAAAACUGACGCUGAGGAGCGAAAGCGUGGGGAGCAAACAGGAUUAGAUACCCUGGUAGUCCACGCCGUAAACGAUGUCAACUAGUUGUUCGUGUCUUUGAGACGUGAGUAACGCAGCUAACGCACUAAGUUGACCGCCUGGGGAGUACGGCCGCAAGGUUAAAACUCAAAUGAAUUGACGGGGGCCCGCACAAGCGGUGGAGCAUGUGGUUUAAUUCGAUGCAACGCGAAGAACCUUACCAUCCCUUGACAUCCAGAGAAUUUU